GCCAGGGUGGUGUAGUGGUUUGAGUGUUGGACUAUGACUCUGAAGACCAGGGUUCAAUUCCCCUCUCGACCA